AUGGACCCCUCCGAGCGCCCCGCCGUCGUAUUCGACAACGGCACCGGGUAUAGCAAACUUGGGUUUGCUGGUAACUCCGAGCCGUCUUUCACCAUCCCUACUGUAGUAGCUGUGAAUGAAUCUUUCUUGGACCAAUCAGAGCAGUGCAGUAGUGCAAAUUGGCUAGCACAGUAUAAUGCAGGUGUCAUGGCUGAUCUUGAUUUUUUUAUCGGGGAUGAGGCUCUGUCACAUUUCAAAUCUAGUGGCCUGUACAGUUUAAGAAGCCCAAUUCGUCAUGGUCAGGUGAAUGACUGGGAUACAAUGGAGAGAUUUUGGCAGCAAUCCAUUUUCAAUUAUCUACGGUGCAAUCCUGAGGAACACUACUUCCUACUUACAGAUAGUCCUGUCAGUACGCCGGAAAGUCGUGAAUGUAUGGGAGAAAUUAUGUUUGAGACCUUUAAUGUCCCUGGUCUAUAUAUUUCUGUGCAAUCUGUGCUCAGCCUUUCUGCUGGAUUUGCAUAUCUGAAAAGUCUUUCUGAAGAGGAUUCAGAAGAUUCUGUGUCUGAUAUGACAGGUGUAGUAGUUGACAUUGGGGAUGGAGCUCCACAUAUUGUGCCAGUUGUGAACGGCUAUGUAAUUGGGAGUAGCAUAAAGUCUUUUCCUCUUUCCGGAAGUGAUGUAACUCAGUUUGUUAUGCAGCUCUUACAGGAAAGGGGUGAGCUUCUUCCACCUGAUGAUGCUUUGGAUAUAGCUCGUAGGGUGAAAGAAACGUAUUGCUAUACUCCUUCAGACAUUGUCAAGGAGUUCAAGAAGCAUGACAGCAAGCCUAGUAAAUAUAUCAAACAAUGGUCUGCAAUCAAACCGAAGACUGGGGUUCCAUACACAGUUGACAUUGGAUAUGAGCGUUUUCUUGGACCAGAGAUCUUCUUCCAUCCUGAGAUGUAUUCUCCUGACUUCUCCACUCCUUUACCUGAACUGAUUGACAGCUGUGUUCAAUCUGCGCCAAUUGACACAAGGAGAGCUUUGUAUAAGAACAUAGUAUUAUCUGGUGGAACUACCAUGUUUAAAGACUUCCACAAGAGACUCCAAAAUAAUAUAAAGAAGAUAGUAGACGAACGUGUUGCCGAAACUAAUGCGCGUCAUCGCGUGGAGGUGAAACCUGUUGAGGUCAACGUAGUCACCCAUCCUAUACAGAGCUAUGCAGUUUGGUUUGGGGGUUCUGUAGCUGCAUCCAGCCAUGAAUUCUUCGAGUGCUGCCACACAAAGGAAGAUUACGAGGAGCAUGGAGCAAGCAUCUGCCGAACAAGCACCGUUUUCAAAGGAAUGUACUGA
rnacentral:rRNA from 1 species